UGUUUACCAGGUCAGGUCCGGAAGGAAGCAGCCAGAGCAGACGACGUGUGUGCCGGGAUGUAGCUGGCAGGG
rnacentral:SRP_RNA from 1 species